GAUGAACGCUAGCGACAGGCUUAAUACAUGCAAGUCGUGGGGCAGCAUGAAUGUAGCAAUACAUUUGAUGGCGACCGGCAAACGGGUGCGGAACACGUACACAACCUUCCUAUAAGUGGGGAAUAGCCCAGAGAAAUUUGGAUUAAUACCCCGUAACAUAAUGAUGUGGCAUCACAUUAUUAUUAUAGCUUCGGCGCUUAUUGAUGGGUGUGCGGCUGAUUAGAUAGUUGGCGGGGUAACGGCCCACCAAGUCUACGAUCAGUAGCUGAUGUGAGAGCAUGAUCAGCCACACGGGCACUGAGACACGGGCCCGACUCCUACGGGAGGCAGCAGUAAGGAAUAUUGGUCAAUGGACGCAAGUCUGAACCAGCCAUGCCGCGUGAAGGAUUAAGGUCCUCUGGAUUGUAAACUUCUUUUAUCUGGGACGAAAAAAGGCGAUUCUUCGUCACUUGACGGUACCAGAUGAAUAAGCACCGGCUAACUCCGUGCCAGCCGCCGCAGUAACAC
rnacentral:rRNA from 1 species